UACGGGGGGGGCAAGCGUUGUUCGGAAUUACUGGGCGUAAAGGGCGCGUCGGCGGCCUUCUAAGUCGAACGUGAAAUCCCCGGGCUCAACCCGGGAACUGCGUCCGAUACUGGAAGGCUUGAAUCCGGGAGAGGGAUGCGGAAUUCCAGGUGUAGCGGUGAAAUGCGUAGAUAUCUGGAGGAACACCGGUGGCGAAGGCGGCAUCCUGGACCGGCAUUGACGCUGAGGCGCGAAAGCCAGGGGAGCAAACGGG
rnacentral:rRNA from 1 species